UACGUAGGGUGCAAGCGUUAAUCGGAAUUACUGGGCGUAAAGCGUGCGCAGGCGGUGAUGUAAGUCAGGUGUGAAAUCCCCGGGCUCAACUUGGAAACUGCAUUUGUGACUGCAUCGCUGGAGUGCGGCAGAGGGGGAUGGAAUUCCGCGUGUAGCAGUGAAAUGCGUAGAUAUGCGGAGGAACACCGAUGGCGAAGGCAAUCCCCUGGGCCUGCACUGACGCUCAUGCACGAAAGCGUGGGGAGCAAACAGG
rnacentral:rRNA from 1 species